UAAAGAUCAUUUUUAAGACAUUUUUUUAAUGACAAUUAAUCAUAUUUUCCUUUUCUAUUCUUGAGUUUGGUUCAGUGACAAUCUAAUUUUUCUGGACAUUCUUUGGAUGUUUUGUUUUUAUUUCCUGACUUUCAUGAAACUCCAAUCACAUCACACUUGAUGUAUAAUCUUCCAGCCAGUCAUGGCACAAGCUGAUAGGUUAUCUACUCUAAUCUGUCAACCAAUCAGCUUGCAUCCUGUGCAAACGAGCUAAUAGGCAAUUCAUUUGUCAGCCAAUAACACUGCAUGUGCCUUAUACCACUAACAUUUAAAUAGCCAGCUUCAAUAUUUGCUGUAAGAUGGUUCACUGCAGUGUAUCAACAAUUUUCUUGCUCAUGGACUUGAGGUAAUUUUUCUUUCAUCCCUUUGAUAUCCUGCCUUUGCUAAUGGUAAGCUUCUGCGUUCUUGAUGUCAGACAGAAGUGUUUCUCACUAGAAGUCAUACAGGUUUGGUGUGACAUGAAGAAAAGCCUGGCUUGCAGUAACAUGCUGACUGGGAGAUGGAGAGAAACUUUGUAUCAAUUCAAUGUUUUAAGGGACCUGUAUGAAUGCAGUCAGCAUCUACAUGGCAUUCUCCGUUAUUACCAGCCAGGCAUGGAUUGAUGGCUUCAGAAAGACAUACACGCAUUACAUUAUUAAAUUGUUUGCCUUUCUUUGAAAUGCACAAUAGAGUACAUUCACUGUUUUUUUUGACAUUUAAACCUAUUGGACCGUGGUGUCGUGAGGGCCAUGCACUACCAGUUGAGUACACCACCCUACAAAUAGAGU